rnacentral:rRNA from 1 species
AUUGAACGCUGGCGGCAGGCUUAACACAUGCAAGUCGAGCGGGGUGAUGGUGCUUGCACUAUCACUUAGCGGCGGACGGGUGAGUAAUGCUUAGGAAUCUGCCUAUUAGUGGGGGACAACAUCUCGAAAGGGAUGCUAAUACCGCAUACGUCCUACGGGAGAAAGCAGGGGAUCACUUGUGACCUUGCGCUAAUAGAUGAGCCUAAGUCGGAUUAGCUAGUUGGUGGGGUAAAGGCCUACCAAGGCGACGAUCUGUAGCGGGUAUGAGAGGAUGAUCCGCCACACUGGGACUGAGACACGGCCCAGACUCCUACAGGAGGCAGCAGUGGGGAAUAUUGGACAAUGGGGGGAACCCUGAUCCAGCCAUGCCGCGUGUGUGAAGAAGGCCUUAUGGUUGUAAAGCACUUUAAGCGAGGAGGAGGCUCUUUUGGUUAAUACCCAAGAUGAGUGGACGUUACUCGCAGAAUAAGCACCGGCUAACUCUGUGCCAGCCGCCGCAGUAA